UACAGAGAGUGCAAGCGUUAAUCGGAAUUACUGGGCGUAAAGCGCACGUAGGUGGAUGCUUAAGUCGGAUGUGAAAUCCCCGAGCUUAACUUGGGAAUGGCAUUCGAUACUGGGCGUCUAGAAUAUGGUAGAGGGAAGUGGAAUUUCUGGUGUAGCGGUGAAAUGCGUAGAUAUCAGAAGGAACAGCAGUGGCGAAGGCGGCUUCCGGGACCAAUAUUAACGCUGAGGUGCGAAAGCGUGGGGAGCAAACAGG
rnacentral:rRNA from 1 species